rnacentral:rRNA from 1 species
GAUGAACGCUGGCGGCGUGCCUAAUACAUGCAAGUAGAACGCUGAAGGAGGAGCUUGCUCUUCUGGAUGAGUUGCGAACGGGUGAGUAACGCGUAGGUAACCUGCCUGGUAGCGGGGGAUAACUAUUGGAAACGAUAGCUAAUACCGCAUGACAACAGUUAUUGCAUGAUAACUGUUUAAAAGGGGCAACUGCUCCACUACCAGAUGGACCUGCGUUGUAUUAGCUAGUUAGUGAGGUAACGGCUCACCAAGGCGACGAUACAUAGCCGACCUGAGAGGGGGAUCGGCCACACUGGGACUGGGACACGGCCCAGACUCCUACGGGAGGCAGCAGUAGGGAAUCUUCGGCAAUGGACGGAAGUCUGACCGAGCAACGCCGCGUGAGUGAAGAAGGUUUUCGGAUCGUAAAGCUCUGUUGUAAGAGAAGAACGAGUGUGAGAGUGGAAAGUUCACACUGUGACGGUAUCUUACCAGAAAGGGACGGCUAACUACGUG